CGAGGGACUGGGCCUGCGAAGGAGCGCUCUAGCUGGCUGGGGACAAGCAGGGGAUCCCAGGCCGGAAGGGAGUGAGGAGGGCAGUGGGGCGAGGAGCUUUGGGCAGACAGGACUCCCGGGCUGGCCUCUGCAGAAGGAGUGAGAAUGAAGGUGUAGUGGGGGAGCUCCUGCCGCGUCCUCCCGACCUGCGGACCAGCUGGGGAGUAAAGAGAACCUAGGGAGCACGGUGUCACCCCGAGGGCUCCGGUGGAAACGUCUGCUCCGCCCUUGCUUGAGCUUUCUCCUCUUGGCGGUCCACACUCCGAGGCAGGGCACUCAGAACUGAACGUUUCCAGGGCUUUUGCUUCCGACCCCUGACCUUUCCUUUUCAACUGCUCUGAAGCGACUCUGCGCGUGCCCCCAACCCGGUUCCUUUCUCUUUUCUGUGGCGUCCUGGUGUUGGGCAUCUGUUCUCAGCGUAAGCUAAGCAUGGGGCCAGCGAGGCUCCUGGUGAGUCUAGUGGACCAGGCGUGGGCACACGCAGAGCGCCGCCGCUCCUCAGGCAGAUAUUGCAGCUGGGUUCGGAGCUACUGACUUGCCUACAUCACACUAUGCGGCAGUAACAUGUUCCCGGCGUUGGAAACAGAGCUAAAGCAGGAGACUCUUCCUGAUCCCUAUGAGGAUUUUAUGCACCAUCACCUGCAGUAUUAUGGAUAUUUCAAAGCUCAGAAAAGCAGCUUACCAAGUUCAGCCACCCAUCAGCGUGUUUGGAGGAGCAGCCCUCGGUAUAUGUUAAAUGGCUCUUU
rnacentral:sRNA from 1 species